rnacentral:rRNA from 1 species
UACGUAGGGUGCGAGCGUUGUCCGGAAUUACUGGGCGUAAAGAGCUCGUAGGCGGUGUGUCGCGUCGGCCGUGAAAACCUGCAGCUUAACUGUGGGCUUGCGGUCGAUACGGGCAUCACUGGAGUUCGGCAGGGGAGACUGGAAUUCCUGGUGUAGCGGUGAAAUGCGCAGAUAUCAGGAGGAACACCGAUGGCGAAGGCAGGUCUCUGGGCCAUAACUGACGCUGAGAAGCGAAAGCAUGGGGAGCGAACAGG